CAGCAGCCGCGGUAAUACGUAGGUGGCAAGCGUUGUCCGGAAUUAUUGGGCGUAAAGGGCUCGCAGGCGGUUUCUUAAGUCUGAUGUGAAAGCCCCCGGCUCAACCGGGGAGGGUCAUUGGAAACUGGGAAACUUGAGUGCAGAAGAGGGGAGUGGAAUUCCACGUGUAGCGGUGAAAUGCGUAGAGAUGUGGAGGAACACCGGUGGCGAAGGCGACUCUCUGGUCUGUAACUGACGCUGAGGAGCGAAAGCGUGGGGAGCGAACAGGAUUAGAGACCCCCGUAGUCCCUGUCUCUUAUAC
rnacentral:rRNA from 1 species